UGAGCAAUCUGCCCUUCUCUUCGGAAUAAGCGUUGGAAACGACGUCUAAUGCCGAAUACGACCUCCUUUCGCAUGAUCGGAGGUGGAAAGCUCCGGCGGAGAAGGAUGAGCUCGCGGCCUAUCAGCUAGUUGGUGAGGUAAUGGCUCACCAAGGCGACGACGGGUAGCCGGCCUGAGAGGGCGAUCGGCCACACUGGGACUGAGACACGGCCCAGACCUCCGUAGGGAGG
rnacentral:rRNA from 1 species